rnacentral:rRNA from 1 species
UACGUAGGGGGCAAGCGUUGUCCGGAAUCAUUGGGCGUAAAGAGCGUGUAGGCGGCCUGAUAAGUCGGCUGUGAAAGUCAAGGGCUCAACCCUUGAAUGCCGGCCGAUACUGUCAGGCUAGAGUCCGGAAGAGGCGAGUGGAAUUCCUGGUGUAGCGGUGAAAUGCGCAGAUAUCAGGAGGAACACCUAUGGCGAAGGCAGCUCGCUGGGACGGUACUGACGCUGAGACGCGAAAGCCAGGGGAGCAAACGGG